rnacentral:rRNA from 1 species
UACGGGGGGGGCAAGCGUUGUUCGGAAUUACUGGGCGUAAAGCGCGUGUAGGCGGCUCUUCAAGUCAGGCGUGAAAGCCCCGGGCUCAACUCGGGAACUGCGCUUGAUACUGUCGAGCUAGAGUGUGGAAGGGGCGAUUGGAAUUCCGUGUGUAGCGGUGAAAUGCGUAGAUAUACGGAGGAACACCAGAGGCGAGGGCGGAUCGCUGGGCCAACACUGACGCUGAGACGCGAAAGCUAGGGUAGCAAACGGG